CCCCCCCUCCAAUCACGGGUAGCCCCGGGGGGGGCUCCCCAAAACCCUCUCCAGGUAUUUCUCCACCCUCAGCGGGGGCGGGGGGCGCCGCGGCGGGGCCGGCAGGAAAGUCCUGGCCGGGAUCUGCUCCGGCGGGGGUCGCGGCCGCGCCUUCGGGGCUCGGCCCAGCUUCGGCGGCGGCUCGGCGGCCAUGGCCAAGCCCAGGCCGGCCUCCUCCUUGCGCUUCUGCUCCACGUCGUGGAUGAUGUCCACCACGUCGUCGGCCGGCAGGUGAAGCCGGCUGGACAGCUCGAUCAGCUGGUCGAUGGUGCCGGGGUCCAGCUCGUCCACCUCGGCCGGAUCCUGCGGCGACGCCUCCUCCGAGUCGCCCGUGGCCGCCUCCUCUUCAUCCUCCUCUUCCUCCGACGCCGCCGCGAUCCGGUUGCCCCGCGCCGGCAUCCGGUGGCCGCGCGCCGGGAGGAUCUCGUUGUCCUCCAAGCCGCCCCUGAUGUUGAAGUCGUCGUCGCCGUCGGCGGCCCUCAAGUCCUCGUUGGCGCCGGGCUUGACCUUGAAGCGCCGGUUGACCUUGAAGACCUCGUUGGCGUCGUUGGCGUCGUAGCCGCCCUUGUAGCCGUCGAGGUCGGCGGCGAGGCCGAACCUGUCCUUGGCCUCGUAGCCGGCGAGGUCGUCGUUGAGGUCGUUGCCGAAAGCAAAUCUGUCCUUGGCCUUGUAGGUCUGGUGGCCACCAAGGUCGUCGUUGAGGUCGUUGACAAGGUUGAACCUGUCCUUGCUCUUGUAGGUUUGGUGGCCACCAAGGUCAUCGUUGAGGUCAUCAUUGAGGUCAUUGCCAAGGUCGAACCUGUCCUUGCUCUUGUAGGUUUGGCGGCCACCAAGAUCAUCGCCGAUCUCAUCGCCGAUCCCAUCGUCGAUCUCCCCGCCGAGACCGAACCCGUCCUUGCCGUUCUCCCCGAACCCUUCCUCCUCUUCCACCUCCUCCUCCUCCUCCUCGGAGCGCUUAUCCUCGGCCACGGCGGGCCCUCGCAGCAGGUACCUCAGCAGCAGAUCCGAGGCCAGGUCGGCCAAGCGCUCCUCUUCGGCCGCCGCCUUGCGCGCCGCCUGCGCCUGGCGCCGGCUCUCGGCCAGCUCCUGGUAGCGCCGCUCCAGCAGCCGCUGCUCCAGGCUCUGCUGCUGCCGCAGCUGCCGCGAGCUCGCCCAGCCCGACUCCCGCUCCCGCUGCCGGUCCCGCUGCCGGUCCCGCUUGGCCUCGGCGCGGAGCCGCCCGAGCUCCUCCAGCUCCCGCAGCACCGGCGGCUGCCGGUGCCCGCCCGCGGGUGGCGGCGGUGGCGGUGGUGGGGAGCGUUUGGAGAUGGGGUGAGGAGGGGGCUGGGGGCUGCCGCCGG
rnacentral:lncRNA from 1 species